rnacentral:rRNA from 1 species
AGUGAACGCUGGCGGUAGGCCUAACACAUGCAAGUCGAACGGCAGCACAGUAAGAGCUUGCUCUUACGGGUGGCGAGUGGCGGACGGGUGAGGAAUACAUCGGAAUCUACUUUUUCGUGGGGGAUAACGUAGGGAAACUUACGCUAAUACCGCAUACGAUCUACGGGUGAAAGCAGUGGAUCUUCGGACCUUGCGCGAUUGAAUGAGCCGAUGUCGGAUUAGAUAGUUGGCGGGGUAAAGGCCCACCAAGUCGACGAUCCGUAGCUGGUCUGAGAGGAUGGUAGCCGACACUGGAACUGAGACACGGUCCAGACGCCUGCGGGAGGCAGCAGUGGGGAAUAUUGGACAGUGGGCGCGAGCAUGAUCCAGUGAUACCGCGUGGGUGACGAAGGCCUUCGGGUUGUAAAGCCCUUUUGUUGGGAAAGAAAAGCAGCAGGUUAAUACCACGCUGUUGUGACGGUACCCAAAGAAUAAGCACCGGCUAACUUCGUG